AUUGAACGCUGGCGGCAGGCCUAACACAUGCAAGUCGAGCGGAGCGGCGGACGGGUGAGUAAUGCCUAGGAAUCUGCCUGGUCGUGGGGGAUAACGUCCGGAAACGGGCGCUAAUACCGCAUCCUAUCAGAUGAGCCUAGGUCGGAUUAGCUAGGGGGUGGGGUAAAGGCCUACCAAGGCGACGAUCCGUAACUGGUCUGAGAGGAUGAUCAGUCACACUGGAACUGAGACACGGUCCAGACGCCUACGGGAGGCAGCAGUGGGGAAUAUUGCGCAAGGGGGGCAACCCUGACGCAGCAAUGCCGCGUGAAUGAAGAAGGCCUUCGGGUUGUAAAGUUCUUUCGGUGAGGAGGCGUUAAUCACAGAAGAAGCACCGGCUAACUCCGUGCCAGCCGCCGCGGUAAUAC
rnacentral:rRNA from 1 species